rnacentral:snRNA from 1 species
AGAUGUGAGGGUGAUCUGGCUGCGACAUCUGUCACCCCAUUGAUCGCCAGGGUUGAUUUGGUUGGUCUAGCUGGCUAGGCGGGUGUUCCCUUCCUCACUGCUCCAUAUGUGUCCCUCCCAAAGCUGUGCACUUGGUCCAGGAGGACGACCUUCCCCACUAGAGGAAGACCCAUCUUAGGUCAAGGGUAUACGAGUAGCUGCACUCCCCUGCUAGAACCUCCAAACAAACUCUCAAAACCUCUAUCUCAUGGAAAAAUUUUUCAACCAUGUCAUGUAUAGAUAAAAUCAUCUGCUCAUUGUUUUGAAUUCCUUU